rnacentral:rRNA from 1 species
CCUACGGGUGGCAGCAGUGAGGAAUAUUGGUCAAUGGACGAGAGUCUGAACCAGCCAAGAAGCGUGAAGGAUGACUGCCCUAUGGGUUGUAAACUUCUUUUAUAUGGGAAUAACAUGUUCCACGUGUGGGAUUUUGUAUGUACCAUAUGAAUAAGGAUCGGCUAACUCCGUGCCAGCAGCCGCGGUAAUACGGAGGAUCCGAGCGUUAUCCGGAUUUAUUGGGUUUAAAGGGAGCGUAGGUGGAUUGUUAAGUCAGUUGUGAAAGUUUGCGGCUCAACCGUAAAAUUGCAGUUGAAACUGGCAGUCUUGAGUACAGUAGAGGUGGGCGGAAUUCGUGGUGUAGCGGUGAAAUGCUUAGAUAUCACGAAGAACUCCGAUUGCGAAGGCAGUUCACUGGACUGCAACUGACACUGAGGCUCGAAAGUGUGGGUAUCAAACAGGAUUAGAUACCCCUGUAGUC